GAUGAACGCUGGCGGCGUGCCUAAUACAUGCAAGUCGAGCGAAUGGAUUAAGAGCUUGCUCUUAUGAAGUUAGCGGCGGACGGGUGAGUAACACGUGGGUAACCUGCCCAUAAGACUGGGAUAACUCCGGGAAACCGGGGCUAAUACCGGAUAACAUUUUGAACCGCAUGGUUCGAAAUUGAAGGGCGGCUUCGGCUGUCACUUAUGGAUGGACCCGCGUCGCAUUAGCUAGUUGGUGAGGUAACGGCUCACCAAGGCAACGAUGCGUAGCCGACCUGAGAGGGUGAUCGGCCACACUGGGACUAAGACACGGCCCAGACUCCUACGGGAGGCAGCAGUAGGGAAUCUUCCGCAAUGGACGAAAGUCUGACGGAGCAACGCCGCGUGAGUGAUGAAGGCUUUCGGGUCGUAAAACUCUGUUGUUAGGGAAGAACAAGUGCUAGCUGAAUAAGCUGGCACCUUGACGGUACCUAACCAGAAAGCCACGGCUAACUACGUGCCAGCCGCCGCAGUAA
rnacentral:rRNA from 1 species